AUCAUUUUAUGUUACAAGGUUAUAUUACUAAUUAAAUUGUUUGUUUUUUCUUUGAAAGGUGUUUUUGAUUUGAUGCCUUUCUACGAGAUGUUACAUUUGUGCUCUGUUAUUAUACUUUAAGAUAAUUGUAAAUCGCUUCUUUUCUUUUAUAUAGGUGCAUAGUCAUUUUUCGACAAGAAAAAAUGUAUUUUCCCGAUGAAAGUUCGUAAUAAUCUAAAUACCUCUUUUAACUAACCAAAACGUUUAUAGAUCGUAAAUCAUAUAUGUUUCUGUAGAGAGCACUACGUUUGGGAUAUAUAUGCGGAGAAAAUAGUCUUGAACUUUCCGCACUCAUCUCGCAAAUGCCAAGCCAGAAUUUCAUAUCACUCAGCUGACAGGUCCAAAAGGUCACAGCUUACUUCCAGCCAUCUACAAUUCCAGCCCACUUCCCCUCCGCCGCCUGCUCACUCAUAAUUAAUUGAAAUGUCAAUACAUUGUUUGUGCGACCCAGCAAAAAUAUUAAUGAAAGCCGGGAGGAAUUCCUUGGAUAAGGGUUUGGGGUAAGGGGGUUGGGAGCCGAAAUGUGUGUGCCUUAUUAUUAGCUUUCCAAGAAAGGCGGAAUCAUCUAUCAAACAAGAGUACAUAUAUAUGUACAUGCCUGCUCUAUUUAUAGGAUAUUCGGGCGAAAUCUGAACUUUAACUGGAAAUUAACUCGCAUGAAAAUUGGGCAAUAAUUUGAUGGAUUUAUCGCCACAAACAAAUUACCCGUUACAGGGACCUCGUUCACCUAGUCAAAUGGGUCAAUAAACUAGGCAGCACCCCGAAGGCGAUAAAACUGGGGUCCUGGGAGGUGGGUUGCAGUGGAGUCGCGAGAUAAGCGCGAUUAGAAGUUAGUAUAUGCCCCUCUAAUUUGGUCCCCUUUUAAAAAUGCACACGCACGCACACACCCCUCACCAAACGGUCGAUCUAUUCACACACAGUAUACACAUAAAUCACGUAUUCCAGCGCUUUGCGGCCAUUUAAUGGCUGUCAAGAUAAGCUUUGGGGCUCUCUAUUUGGGCUUCAUGUCGGCCCCACAUAGCCGUGAAUGUGUGUGCUUCACUGUUUCACUGUGCAACCAAAGUAAAUAAUUGCCUAAACAUUGUGCAAACUGGAGGGCAGCCUGCGGGCAAUCCGAUGUCUGUCAAAGUGCAUUUUAAUGUCAGUAAAUGUGCAGCUCGCACGUUAGUUGAAAUAAAAUGCCAUAUAAUCACUAUGGCCAAAGCAAUUAAAUUUCGUGCAAUGCUUUCAUUUCACGGCGCACAUCGACGUCGAAUGAAAAAAGUAAUGCUGAUGAACUUUAACUUUUUGCGAACUUAUUUUGUCGAGUGUUCAAAUAAUACCAAUGUUCAAUACCAUGUUCAAAUGAUACCAAUCAGUAGGUAACGAAAUCAGAGAAAUUUUUAAAUAUUCGAGCUCGCUGCUCGUUUGCCGGGCUCCCAAUCAUUUAUUGGCUAUUGAUCAUCUAUGGCAAAAACUUUUUCACACCAGAGAGAGUGCCUUUCACUUUAGUUGAUGGGUAAUCGGAGUUAUCCAUAAUAACUUUCCCGGCGCAAGCACACUCACACGCUGGAAUGUUUUAUUUCGCAUUUCAAUUAAGUUGGCCGAGAGUUUUGGCCAAGAUUGAAGGUUCCGUUGGGCGCCAAAACUUUUUGCUCGAAUAUCCCACGUCUUGCAAAUAGUUGGCAUUGCCAUACGCCAUACGCCCAUGGCCGCGCUGAUACCCCAAUAGGUGGCGGAUGGAAGUGCUUGGCCAAAUGACCAAAUCGUUAACCGAAAGCAGACCCACUUACUGGGGCGGGGAUUUUAUGUCCUGCUGACUCACAGAGUGACUUGCAGAGGAUCCACCACCACCAGCACCGCCACCAUCGCAUUUCGGUUUCAUUGUCAAUUGACACUUUUUGUUGCCGUUGCCUUCUCCUUUGGUGUCGCCGGCGAUUUGAGCUGCAGAUGCAACAGCAGCUGCAGCUGCAGCUUCAGCGACUUGAUUGCAUUUUCACAGACUGAAGAGAAGAUUGGAUAGGGUGGCAAUGGGCAAUGGGAAAUGGGUGGUGGGCAGUGGGUGGUGAUUCCCCAUCGGGCCAAGAGCUGGCUGUUUGUUUUAUGGCCCAGUGGCAACUGCUUAUUGCUUUCGGUUUGCUUCAAUGAUGGCAACGUGUGGGCCCUCUUUCGCUUUAUUCUCCAGCGGAACGUCAACAACUCUUUGUUGUUUACGGGCGAAGUUUUUGAGCGCCUCGCUUGCAGCAAGUUAACGCUGCAAAUUGAAAUUGUUGCAACUUGUUUCGAUUUAUGUGUAUUUGCACCGGUCAAAGUUGUCUGUGGAAAUAUUCACGGCACCGCAGAUCCACUUCCGCUAAUUAAUUUCCAUAGGAAAUUAAUAUCAACUUAAAUGUAUUUAGUGUUGAUUAAUGCAUAAUUGAUGCGAAACCCUGGCGGCGACUUUCGACCAGGUGCAAAAACUUCGCCUCACCUUUUCGGCGUUUCUCGGUUGGCGGAAGGGGGAAAAGCUGACAUUUUUAGCUUCAUUAAUCAUUAAAGCGGGUCGACAGGCGCGAGUGGCAGAGCGGGGGAAAGGCCGUUAUUAAUUACAGAAAUGGCAUAAAGCUCAAAUGGGCAAACAUUCAAGUCAAUUACGAGGGCAAGGUAAAUAAAGUGCGGCAAGAAAAAUACAAAAUAAAGAGAAAUUGAAGAGGAAAAAAAGAAAAUGUAGAGAAUAUUGAUAAACUUUUCACUUCUACAGCGAAACUGCAAAAAUGCCAAUAAAUUGGUUGGAACUCGAUUCAUGUUAAUUAUAAAAUCCGCAGCGAAGCUCAUUUAAAUUAAUUUACACGCAAACAGAAUAGUAGAAACUAGUUAUUAUAAUCCGUAGAGAAAGUACUUGAAUUUGCAGGCCACACACGUUUGCAAAUGCCAAUUAAAAUGCAUGAGCCACAAAUAUUUAAAAUCAUUUCUCGCCACUUGAAUGCAGGAUGUGACCAAAUCAUCAGGACCACAUCAUCUCUCUCUCUCUCUGACUCUGACUCUCUCUCCUGUCCCUCUCCAUUUUGGCACUUUUAAAGGCGAUACAGUACAGCAUCAACAACAUGGCACUAACUGUGGCCAAAGUUUGUCCAGCUUCCUCAUCCCUCGGAGUUUCCUGCCUUUGUCCGCUUGGCCAUAACCAGAAAAUGACAAAAGCCAUGUCAACAGCAUGUUUAAGGGUUCGGGGUUCGAGUUCCAGUUAAGACAAUGCCCUGCGUGUGUAUCCGUGAGCCCAAGUAAGUGUGUGCGUGGCUGGGGAUUCUCUUGUGUUGUUGUUGGUGUUGGUAUUGGUGUCCCCUUAUCCGUGUUGCUAGUGGCCAAAGUCUUAGGAGCGAAACAAACUUCAACUCCUGGCCCUUGCCCAAUUUGGUUACUUUCCCAGUUCGGCAAACAAUGGACACGAUAAUUUAUUCAUAUUCGGCCACACUAUCCCCUGCCCCACCUCAGUGUACCACAUCCGUGUGUGGGGAUGAAUUUUUAAAUAACCAUAAAUUUCUAAAUUUACACAAGAGACACUGAAGACACAUUGCACUUGCGAUAAGCCACAUACCAAACAAAAGGGACACGGAUCCAAAAGGGGAAAAAAAUGAAACUUUUCCAUGCAAACAAUGCAAAUUUUAAUGAAUAUUUUCGGGUCGAAACUCUUGGUCCCCUCAGAGUGUUGAUAAUUGCCACAUAAAUUCUGAAAGCAAAGGAUGUGCGAAAACUACAAGAUAUUUUAUUAUAAACACAGUGUCAGCACUGGCCAAACAAUUUGCUAAAUAUUUAUGCAUUUGCAUAAUGCAUGCAAUCAAAUUUUCUCACACGACACGACCACAUGGAAAACUGGGCGAUGAUAUGUGGGCGUCGUCAGAAGGUCGCCGCCGGCUAACUAUAAUAUUCAACGUAUGAUUUGCCAGGAAUGCACUUAUAUAAAUACCACGGGACACCGAAAUUCUAAAUAGCCUAGAUGGCUAAAUAUAAAUUUGCCUUGGGACUUUAGGGGAUUUCCCCGACACGAUUUUAUUCUGUCUUUGCUAAGGCGUUCUUUGGGUUAAUUUGAUAUUUAAAUGUGCUUAGCAUUUUGCAUACCAUUUUAAUGAAUUAUCAAAACUAAUUAUCGUCGUAGCCUGGCGAUAUAGUUGGAAAACAAACAUUAAGCCCACUUAAAGCCCCUAUUUCUCAUAACUGACUCAAAAACUCGAAAAAGGCCAAUGGGUUUACUGCACAUACGAAGUGGCAAUACAUACGCCAAUCUGAAAAUCGCUUGUACUGUGUAAUCUGUAAUAAGCUUUUGAGGUUUAUUAUAAAUAUCAUUGAAUUCGAGAGUGUUUACCCAUGGGUCUCAUCAAUUGCAUAACGCACACAGUCACACAUGAGUGCAAACACACACACACACACAAUCGGAGGUCUGGCUGCCUUUGGUUUUGGCAUUAGUGCCAAGAAAUUUUGCGGAGGGGCAAGGCCAACUAAUUGCGGCGACAUAACUUGUUGCGCCCCUCGGAGCCACGCCCUCUUCCUACUAGCCGUGCACCCCGCCCCCAAAGAGGCCUGUGUAUGUGUACAGUGUGAUUUUGUGGGGUGUGUGUAAUAAACGCCGCAGAUAGACAGACGUACUAUAUGGUCGCAUGGCGGCUGUCGUCUGUCUAAGAACUAUUGCCAACAACAACAGCAACUGCGAAUUGCAUAAGAUGUGUGAGUGUGUGCGGACGGGAGGGGCGUGGCACGAGGCCUCAUCGCUUGUCGCUUGUUUACAAUAAACAAAGUCAAAUGUCUCAGCCUGACAAGCAUUUUUGUUUGAUAUUCAGGCUGAUGAAAUACAUUUAUAGGUACCGAUUUGCAAGUAUAAAGCGGAUAGCUUUCAGGAAAAACUAUUAGAAAUAUAUUGCAAAAUUAAUUUCCUUAUUUUCUGUUUGCAAAACGGAAGAGGAAAAUCAGAGAGAGAAACAUGCAAAAAUAUACAAAAUGAAUUAAAAAAACACAUUUUAUGUCUAUCUUUUGAGCGGAAGACUAACUAAAUAAUUGCUAAGUAUCUCAACUUUUAGUCCAAGCGUACAAUUUCUCAGAAGGAAACCAAGGAUACAUGAAAUUCCUGGGGGUAAAACAUAUAGAAAUCUGUAAGCUUGUAGCAAUUAAAAGUGUACAGAGUAAAACUUGUGAAAAUUGUGUGAAGUUGUGGCAACUAAAGCAGAGCUUUUUAUUGGUUAUCUUUUUUAAAAAAAUCCAGGCUUAAAUGAAUUGAAACAUUUUGGGUACAAGGAGGUAUUCAUUACACUAACUAAUAACUGAAACGUAAUAGUUCCCACAGCAUAUUUGAUAUGUCUCCUGCUGUACACAGAUCUUCGCUUUCGUAUUUUUAAAAUUGAUGGUUACUAUUUUUGUACUUCAUAAAUGCGAAGUAUCGGCAUAAACAGUUUGGCAGGUGGCCGCAUCUUUACAAAGUUAUUCGAAACCUCUUGAUGGGCAAUAGCCGGCAGCUUGGCACCCACCGCAAAAUGGGAUCCGGAAGAGGCGCUGGAAAAGCUGGAGAGCCGGAAAAAGGGGUCUUGGACCAACUGCAAUGACUGGGCCUAGGGCUUAAUAAAAUUAUGUGACGAUUAUUGCCGGCGGAGAGUGUAACCAGAAAACAGUAACCAGUAACCAGUAACCAGUAGUCACCAACCUGUAGUCGGGGUCCACGAGCCAUUCGGCAGAAAUUGUAAUGGUUCCAUGGCGCUGCUGCUUGGCUGCCACUUGAAAAACGCAUUAAGGCUGCAGUUUUGUGUGGCAUUUGUAUAUUAUAUAUAUUAUACGAUAUAUGUGGGUGUGUGUGGGUGUGUGUAUGUGCCAUAAUACGCUCUUGUACGGCUGCCCUAUAUGCAUGCCAGAGUGGUUUGCUGAUUGCAUGUUAAAAGGCCUUCGCCGGCGACUCCGCUGCAGCUGCUGCUCCUGAAGCUCUUUUUGCCAUGAAAUUUAAUUAAAAACUUGUGUGCCAUGAAAUUACAUUUCAACGUGAGUUUCCUCUCCGAAACUGCGCCGGGCUGCUCAAAGGUAGGAAAGGAAGAACUUGCACACGCCGAGAGUUGAUUUUUAUGUAAAAAUGUUCAAAAGCCUUUCCACUGCGCCCCAAAAGGGAAGUGACUUUCGUUCGAGAUGAAGUCGUUUGUGGCCGCCGCACCCGCCGAGAUCUACUGCCUUCUCCAUAGAUUCCGCAGGGAAGGCCUUGGGUUUAGAGUUCGGGGGCGGUGGCGGGGCGGGGCGAAAGAGAAAUCCCUGGGCAAUUAUUAAAUUGAUUUAUCAGCCAUCAAGCGGGUAAAUUAAACGGGAAAUACAUUUUUAUCGAUCCGCAGUCGCAGCCUUGAAUUAUUGAGUAUUCCGGAUCCCGUAUUCCACUUGUUAAUUUUCGCAAAAAUAUUCACAGCAGAAAUCCAUUUAUUCGUUGACAUUUUAUUUGCAGGCCAACAGAUUUCCGGCUCUGAAUCGCAGUGCGAGAGAGAAAGAGUGAGCAAAUGGGGACUAUCUGAAUACUAUCCCAACUAUUUUCCUGGCCAUCUUAACCUCCUGUGUUUUGGGUAGUUUAGAGAAGCUCAAUUAAUAACUUAUUUACUAGGAACUCCGCAUUUGAAAUGCAAAUCUGGCUUGGAGGAUUUUGUAAUCAAAUUGCAACACCUUUGUUCACCUGCUGCCGUUGACUGUUGCUAGCGGUAUUUGUUAUGCAAAAAUCGCUGAGCUCGCCGCUUUGGCGCUUUGCAUGUUUCAAUUAAGCAUUACACAUACGCCCCGUGAAACCGAAGGGAGUGGAAAGAAAGUGUAAUAGAAGGAGCAGCUGUCUGGGGAAUUCUCUUUAAAAUCCGCUUAAAACUUAUUCAAUUAAAGUUUGCGCCCUCUGGGCAACAAAACAGACGACAAAUUCUGUCGUAAAAUGGCAAGGCAAAUGGCGAUCAGCAAACGAGCAAACAGCAACGCCAAAUGCCAUAACAACGAGACCAAGCCACAUAAAAAUAUGCACAUAAAGUGUGUAUAAUAUCGCAGCCCAGGUCCGUGGGUUGCAGCUGUAAAAAGUGAGGACUAAAAAGUAGUAAAACCAACUGAGGAACCACACAAAUGUGGCAAAUAAAUCAGCAGUCACUUGCAAGUGAAGGCGCUUGUAAACCAUUUGCUCGGGUUUAUUUGCGUGACUUCAUGAGGCGGAGCGGAAAACGUACGGAAAGGGAUUGCUGUCUAGUGCCGAAAUUCUUGGGAAAACUUUCUAGUUUCAGGAAGUGCAGCCAGCCGGAUAAGUCUUCUGUUAGCCCCACAUUCUUCCUGGAACUCUUAUUGUAGUAAUAAACUGGGGCCCUGGUAAUUUUAUUUCGUUUAAAAAUAAUCGAACAUGUUUUCUAAGAACUAAAUUUUUGUGUUUAAAAAAUUCCAUUAAAAGUAAUUACUAAGGAUAGAUCCAUGACCUACAUAGAGUUCAACCUAUAGUGCCGGAAAUAAGUUAUUUACUCAUUUGAAAUAUAUGUGAUAGAACUUAUAGUCUCCCACAUUUUUUUUAUUAUUUACACAUUUUCAUUGGCCCGUUUUAUGACUACAUUUUCACUGUUGUUGACUGACAAUAAUCUGCAAAUCAGCAUUAAAAUGAGUUCUGACCACCAAGCACUUUACAGCCCAAAAAAGUUUCACGAAAGCAAAUAGAUAGACUGACAGAGUGGCAAAAAUUAAAAGUUGAAGCGAUUGGAAGAGCGAAUUCCACUCACACUAAGCUAACAGGCAAAUAUUUUGUCCGUUUUAGUGUCAUUUUGUUUUUAAAAAAGUCGUGGCUCUAUCCCAUUUUAUUUUUUAUUUAUUUGCCUUGGGCAGCAGACGCCGCAACAAAGCAUAUUUUUAGACGCCAUGCAGGCAUGUGUUUGUGUGCGUGUGUGAGUGUGUGUGUGCGGGUCGGGGGGACUCUGUGUAUUUGUAUGCGUGCUGGGACACUAUGCCGGAAACGUGACUUAUUUGAAAUUUAUGUACUUUCUAGCCAAUCGCCAGCAAAAAGCAAGGAUAUACCCUAUAGCCAGGGCAGAAAGCAGAAAGGGAAAAAAACAAACAGAGCGCCCGAAAAAAGGCAAACAUCGCAAUUUAUAGAGCAAAUUCCUCCCUUAUCUGUGCUCUAGUGCAGCCCCAAUCCCCAUCGUUUUUUCGGGCAUUUUUAAUUAUUUUUUUAAUCGUUAGUUAGAAACACAUACGUACGUAUGAAGGGUUUGCAGGCGGCCAGCAUGGCGUAUGUGCAAUAUGCAAAUGCAAAUGCAUUCGCCAAAGAACAACAAUUCACAAAUUGAAAUCAACGAGCAUACAACUUGAUAGGUUUUUGUUUGUUCCCUUUUAGCCCGCCUCCAUACCCCUCCUCCUCCUAUAUCCCUAGGUCCUGUGUGUUCUAGGUCCUGUGUGCUCUCCUUUCUGGCUCUUUCGUUUUCGUUUCGUUUUUCAGCUCGUGUCACACACGCCAUUCACUUGUUGUUGGCUUUGUUGCUGCUGUUCGACAUGCAUCGAUUACAUAAAUGGGUGGGGUGGGGUGGGGUGGUGUGGUGUGGUGGGGGUGCAGAUCCUGGGUGGCAAAGGAUGUGGGUCCUUGCAGGCAGGAGGAGCAAAGGUCGGGCGAAUGGCGACAUAAGUCACGAAGCUUUGCUAAUGAUGAGGGCCUUGAUGCUUUUUCAAUUAACCAAAUGUGUGACGUACGGAAAGCAGAUAGUAGGCUGCUUUCCGUUUGUGACAGUGACAACCAUUUGGCCGGGCAUAAAUCAAAGUGAAAGCAAGAAGCGAAGCAAGUUUUGGUGAUUUUUCGGUUGCUAGUGCCUCUCAAAUUGCCCAACUCAUGUGAGUUGGUCUGCCCAAAAUGAAGAGCUUCCUACUAAAAGUGAGGAUAUGAAGCUAUUGACUAUAUCUGCUGUAACAAUGGCACCUUAUGGUUUGUUUUUCAUUUUCCGGAUAUAUUAUGCUAGUUUCUUUGAUUUUUCAAUUUGCAAAGGUCCACAAGACAACUUGUAAUGAUCCCAGAAUUACGUGUAUUCCCAAAACGAAAGAUGUAAAUUAGUUUUUAAAUAAAGAAGAUAUUUUAUAAUGAAGA